UACGUAGGGGGCGAGCGUUGUCCGGAUUUAUUGGGCGUAAAGAGCGUGUAGGCGGCCAGGUAGGUCUGCUGUGAAAACUCGAGGCUCAACCUCGAGACGUCGGCGGAAACCAUCUGGCUAGAGUCCGGAAGAGGAGAGUGGAAUUCCUGGUGUAGCGGUGAAAGUGCGCAGAUAGUCAGGAAGAACACCCGUGGCGGAAGGCGGCCUCUCUGGGACGGUACUGACGCUGAGACGCGAAAGCGUGGGAGCGAACAGG
rnacentral:rRNA from 1 species